rnacentral:lncRNA from 1 species
CCAUGGUUCUGAUCCUGGGCUUGCACUGAUAUCGUCUUGUACCGUUCUAGGUACAACUCAUAUCAAUGUUUUCAUACAAUAUGAAAUACAUAAAUCAGCUUUCUGCUUACGCAUAAAGGAUUCUAUUUACGCAUUAUUUCUUUGGGAGUCAAAGGGUACGUUCCCUUUAAGAAGAGCAACUUCCUAGUCUCACUAGAGU